CACUACGACCAUGCCACCUUGAACGUGCCCUAUCUUGUCUGAUCUUGGAAGCUAAGUAGGUUUGGGCCUGGUUAGUAUUUGGAUGGGAGACCACCUAGGAAUACCAGGUGCUGUAGGCG
rnacentral:rRNA from 1 species